rnacentral:rRNA from 1 species
CCUACGGGAGGCAGCAGUGAGGAAUAUUGGUCAAUGGGCGAGAGCCUGAACCAGCCAAGUCGCGUGAGGGAGUACUGCCCUAUGGGUUGUAAACCUCUUUUGUCGGGGAGCAAAAGCCGGACGUGUCCGGCUGUGAGAGUACCCGAAGAAAAAGCAUCGGCUAACUCCGUGCCAGCAGCCGCGGUAAUACGGAGGAUGCGAGCGUUAUCCGGAUUUAUUGGGUUUAAAGGGUGCGCAGGCGGAUUUUUAAGUCAGCGGUAAAAUCGUGGGGCUCAACCCCAUCCAGCCGUUGAAACUGGGGAUCUAGAGUGGGCGAGAGGUAUGCGGAAUGCGUGGUGUAGCGGUGAAAUGCAUAGAUAUCACGCAGAACCCCGAUUGCGAAGGCAGCAUACCGGUGCACAACUGACGCUCAGGCACGAAAGCGUGGGUAUCGAACAGGAUUAGAUACCCUAGUAGUC